rnacentral:rRNA from 1 species
CAUAGCGACUAUCGUGGCAUAUCAAUAAGCGGAGGAAAAGAAACUAACAAGGAUUCCCUUAGUAACGGCGAGUGAAGCGGGAAGAGCUCAAAUUUGAAAUCUUCAAGGUUUUACCUUGACGAAUUGUAGUUUAAAGAAGUGUUUUCUGUUGGAGUUUUGGUAAAAGUUCUUUGGAAUAGGACAUCAUAGAGGGUGAGAAUCCCGUAUUUGACCAUUAUUUCCAGCUGUGUGAUACACUUUCAAAGAGUCGGAUUGUUUGGGAAUGCAGUCCAAAAUGGGUGGUAAAUUUCAUCUAAAGCUAAAUACUGGCGAGAGACCGAUAGCGAGCAAGUACCGUGAGGGAAAGAUGAAAAGAACUUUGAAAAGAGAGUUAAACAGUACGUGAAAUUGUCAAAAGGGAAGCGUUUGACACCAGUGUUGUUUUUCCGAAAAUCAAUUACGAAUGUUUUGUUUUUGAGGAGUUAUGACUUCAUCGGCUUGCUCCUUUCUUUACGAAACUUUCUUAAUGCACUUUUCGGUUAACAAGUCAACAUCAAUUUCUUUUGUUGUAAAAGGGUAUGAGGAAGGUGGCUUUCUUUUCGGAGAAAGUGUUUAUAGCCUUGUGCCUCUGCAAUCGGAGAGAUUGAGGUCUGCAGCGUAGAUCCUUCGGGGUUAGAUACGUUUGUGCUAAGUUAUAGCUUUUCAUAGACAACUUGUUGACUAUGUUUAGUCAUUGUAGCUUACUCGCUUACUGCUAAUUUUACCUACGCUUAGGAUGUUGAUAUGCAUGACUGAUAU